AGGAACCGAUAGCCAUCACCCGUCGUCUGGUCAGCCAACAUGGCGCCACUUUUACCAAUGCCUUCAUCUCGACCCCAGUUUGCUGUCCGAGCCAGUCGUCCAUAUUGACAGGCAAAUACGUUUAUAGCCAUCGGGUCAUCAAUAAUACGGUGACGGG